rnacentral:rRNA from 1 species
GAUGAACGCUGGCGGCGUGCUUAACACAUGCAAGUCGAACGGAACUUAUAUGAUAGAGGAUUCGUCCAAUUGAUUAUAAGUUUAGUGGCGGACGGGUGAGUAACGCGUGAGUAACCUGCCUUGGAGCGGGGAAUAACACAGUGAAAAUUGUGCUAAUACCGCAUAAUGCAUUUGAGUCGCAUGGCUCUGAAUGCCAAAGAUUUAUCGCUCUGAGAUGGACUCGCGUCUGAUUAGCUAGUUGGUGGGUAACGGCCCACCAAGGCGACGAUCAGUAGCCGGACUGAGAGGUUGACCGGCCACAUUGGGACUGAGACACGGUCCAAACUCCUACGGGAGGCAGGCAGUGGGGAAUAUUG